rnacentral:rRNA from 1 species
GAGUUUGAUCAUGGCUCAGAUUGAACGCUGGCGGCAUGCCUUACACAUGCAAGUCGAACGGCAGCACGGGAGCUUGCUCCUGGUGGCGAGUGGCGAACGGGUGAGUAAUGCAUCGGAACGUAUCCUGGAGUGGGGAUAACGUAGCGAAAGUUACGCUAAUACCGCAUAUUCUGUGAGCAGGAAAGCGGGGACCUUCGGGCCUCGCGCUCUUGGAGCGGCCGAUGUCGGAUUAGCGUAAGUUGGUGAGGUAAAGGACUCACCAAGGCGACGAUCCGUAGCAGGUCUGAGAGGAUGAUCUAGCCACACUGGAACUGAGACACGGUCCAGACUCCUACGGAGGCAGC